AGAGUUUGAUCCUGGCUCAGGAUGAACUCUAGCGGCAGGCUUAACACAUGCAAGUCGAGGGGCAGCGGGGAGGAAGCUUGCUUUCUCCGCCGGCGACCGGCGCACGGGUGAGUAACACGUAUGCAACCUGCCCCUGUCAGGGGGACAACCCGCCGAAAGGCGGGCUAAACCCGCGUACAUGCCACCGGGGCAUCCCGGAGGCAGGAAAGGCUUCGGCCGGACAGGGAUGGGCAUGCGGCGCAUUAGGCAGUAGGCGGGGUAACGGCCCACCUAACCGACGAUGCGUAGGGGUUCUGAGAGGAAGGUCCCCCACACUGGUACUGAGACACGGACCAGACUCCUACGGGAGGCAGCAGUGAGGAAUAUUGGUCAAUGGUCGGGAGACUGAACCAGCCAAGCCGCGUGAGGGAGGAAGGUACAGAGUAUCGUAAACCUCUUUUGUCAGGGAACAAAGACUGGGACGCGUCCCCGGAUGAGUGUACCUGAAGAAAAAGCAUCGGCUAACUCCGUGCCAGCAGCCGCGGUAAUACGGAGGAUGCGAGCGUUAUCCGGAUUUAUUGGGUUUAAAGGGUGCGCAGGCGGUCUGUUAAGUCAGCGGUCAAAGCCCGGGGCUCAACCCCGGCCCGCCGUUGAAACUGGCAGUCUCGAGUUGGAGAGAAGUAUGCGGAAUGCGCGGUGUAGCGGUGAAAUGCAUAGAUAUCGCGCAGAACUCCGAUUGCGAAGGCAGCAUGCCGGCUCCACACUGACGCUGAGGCACGAAAGCGUGGGUAUCGAACAGGAUUAGAUACCCUGGUAGUCCACGCAGUAAACGAUGAAUACUGGCUGUCCGGGGGGACUGACCCCUGGGUGGGCGAAGCGAAAGCGAUAAGCAUUCCACCUGGGGAGUACGCCGGCAACGGUGAAACUCAAAGGAAUUGACGGGGGCCCGCACAAGCGGAGGAACAUGUGGUUUAAUUCGAUGAUACGCGAGGAACCUUACCCGGGCUCAAACGGGGAGUGCCGCAGGCAGAGACGCCUGUUUCCCACGGGACACUCCCCGAGGUGCUACAUGGUUGUCGUCAGCUCGUGCCGUGAGGUGUCGGCUUAAGUGCCAUAACGAGCGCAACCCCCGCGUGCAGUUGCUAACAGAUAACGCUGAGGACUCUGCACGGACUGCCGGCGCAAGCCGCGAGGAAGGCGGGGAUGACGUCAAAUCAGCACGGCCCUUACGUCCGGGGCGACACACGUGUUACAAUGGGUGGUACAGCGGGAAGCCAGGCGGCGACGCCGAGCGGAACCCGAAAUCCACUCUCAGUUCGGAUCGGAGUCUGCAACCCGACUCCGUGAAGCUGGAUUCGCUAGUAAUCGCGCAUCAGCCAUGGCGCGGUGAAUACGUUCCCGGGCCUUGCACUCACCGCCCGUCAAG
rnacentral:rRNA from 1 species